AUGCACGCUAGCGGGAGGCCUAACACAUGCAAGCCGAGCGGUAUUUGUUCUUCGGAACAGAGAGAGCGGCGCACGGGUGCGGAACACGUGUGCAACCUGCCUUUAUCUGGGGGAUAGCCUUUCGAAAGGAAGAUUAAUACCCCAUAAUAUAUUGAGUGGCAUCAUUUGAUAUUGAAAACUCCGGUGGAUAGAGAUGGGCACGCGCAAGAUUAGAUAGUUGGUGAGGUAACGGCUCACCAAGUCAAUGAUCUUUAGGGGGCCUGAGAGGGUGAUCCCCCACACUGGUACUGAGACACGGACCAGACUCCUACGGGAGGCAGCAGUGAGGAAUAUUGGACAAUGGGUUAGCGCCUGAUCCAGCCAUCCCGCGUGAAGGACGACGGCCCUAUGGGUUGUAAACUUCUUUUGUAUAGGGAUAAACCUACUCUCGUGAGAGUAGCUGAAGGUACUAUACGAAUAAGCACCGGCUAACUCCGUG
rnacentral:rRNA from 1 species